AGAUGAUUAUGCGGACAGUUCCUCUGAAGCUCUUUGAAGCAUUCCCAAGCUUGAUAUAGAGAUUCUCCAUGUAAUUGUAGAAAAUCUAUAAUCUCCUUGGUCAUCCU